rnacentral:rRNA from 1 species
GACGAACGCUGGCGGCGUGCCUAAUACAUGCAAGUUGAGCGAUGAAGAUUGGUGCUUGCACCAAUUUGAAGAGCAGCGAACGGGUGAGUAACGCGUGGGGAAUCUGCCUUUGAGCGGGGGACAACAUUUGGAAACGAAUGCUAAUACCGCAUAACAACUUUAAACAUAAGUUUUAAGUUUGAAAGAUGCAAUUGCAUCACUCAAAGAUGAUCCCGCGUUGUAUUAGCUAGUUGGUGAGGUAAAGGCUCACCAAGGCGAUGAUACAUAGCCGACCUGAGAGGGUGAUCGGCCACAUUGGGACUGAGACACGGCCCAAACUCCUACGGGAGGCAGCAGUAGGGAAUCUUCGGCAAUGGACGAAAGUCUGACCGAGCAACGCCGCGUGAGUGAUGAAGGUUUUCGGAUCGUAAAACUCUGUUGGUAGAGAAGAACGUUGGUGAGAGUGGAAAGCUCAUCAAGUGACGGUAACUACCCAGAAAGGGACGGCUAACUACGUG